AUUGAACGCUGGCGGCAUGCUUUACACAUGCAAGUCGAACGGCAGCGGGGGCUUCGGCCUGCCGGCGAGUGGCGAACGGGUGAGUAAUGCAUCGGAACGUGCCCAUGUCGUGGGGGAUAACGUAUCGAAAGGUACGCUAAUACCGCAUACGUCCUGAGGGAGAAAGCGGGGGAUCUUCGGACCUCGCGCGAUUGGAGCGGCCGAUGUCGGAUUAGCUAGUAGGUGAGGUAAAGGCUCACCUAGGCGACGAUCCGUAGCGGGUCUGAGAGGAUGAUCCGCCACACUGGGACUGAGACACGGCCCAGACUCCUACGGGAGGCAGCAGUGGGGAAUUUUGGACAAUGGGCGCAAGCCUGAUCCAGCCAUGCCGCGUGAGUGAAGAAGGCCUUCGGGUUGUAAAGCUCUUUCGGCCGGGAAGAAAUCGGCGACUCUAACAUAGUCGCUGGAUGACGGUACCGGACUAAGAAGCACCGGCUAACUACGUGCCAGCAGCCGCGGUAAUACGUAGGGUGCGAGCGUUAAU
rnacentral:rRNA from 1 species